UUACGGUCACAUCAUGUAGAAAUGCUGGUUCCCGUACGAUCCCCGAAGUUAAGCAACCUCGAGUCUGUUCACUACCUAGAUGAGUGACUGCAUGUGAACAUUAAGU